rnacentral:misc_RNA from 1 species
AAGGAUCAUUAGCAAGAUUGCCUCCUCACUCAUCAUUGCCUCCCAUUUUGUGGAUGGUGGUGGUGGGAAGGGGAAGAAAGGCAAGUGCCAUCCUUGUGUUAUGUUUUUCAUGUGUAUGUGUGUGUGUUGCGCGAUUCAUUCGCGCAUCCGCAUCACUUUACUAUUUAACACUCUUUACCAUUCAUAUUCUGAACAAACCUUGUCAUUGCUCGCAAGAGCAUGCACAAACCAACCGAAAACUGCCAGCAAUGGAUCACUCGGUUCUC